rnacentral:rRNA from 1 species
CGCGUAGGUGGCUAGGCAAGUCGGGUGUGAAAGCCCCGGGCUCAACCUGGGAAUUGCAUUCGAUACUGCUUGGCUAGAGUACGGUAGAGGGAAGCGGAAUUCCGCAUGUAGCGGUGAAAUGCGUAGAUAUGCGGAGGAACACCAGUGGCGAAGGCGGCUUCCUGGACCGUAACUGACACUGAGGCGCGAAAGCGUGGGGAGCAAACA